rnacentral:rRNA from 1 species
AGAAUGAACGCUGGCGGCGCGCCUAAUACAUGCAAGUCGAGCGAGAAGACGUAGCAAUACGUUUGUAAAGCGGCGAACGGGUGAGGAAUACAUGGGUAACCUACCCUCGAGUGGGGAAUAACUAGCCGAAAGGUUAGCUAAUACCGCGUACGCUUCUUGGACUUCGGUUCAGGGAGGAAAGCGAUGCCAAGGGUAUCGCGCUCUUGGAUGGGCUCAUGUCCUAUCAGCUUGUUGGUGAGGUAACGGCUCACCAAGGCUUCGACGGGUAGCUGGUCUGAGAGGACGAUCGGCCACACUGGCACUGCGACACGGGCCAGACUCCUACGGGAGGCAGCAGUAAGGAAUAUUGCGCAAUGGGCGAAAGCCUGACGCAGCGACGCGCGUGGGGGAUGAAGGUCUUCGGAUUGUAAACCCCGUUUGGAGGAAGAUGGAAUGGGUAACCCAGUUCGGACGGUACCUCCGAGAAGCAGCCACGGCUAACUCGUGCCAGCCAGCCGCGGUAAUC